UACAUGUGGUGCAAGCGUUGUUCGGAAUUACUGGGCAUAAAGGGUGCGUAGGCGGCAUUGCACGUCUGGGGUGAAAUCCUGUGGCCCAACCACAGGUCGGCCUCGGAUACGGCGGUGCUGGAGUGCGUGAGGGGUGAUCGGAACGCGUGGUGUAGCGGUGAAAUGCGUAGAUAUCACGCGGAAGGCCAACGGCGAAGGCAGAUCACUGGCGCGCAACUGACGCUGAGUGCACGAAAGCGUGGGGAGCAAACAGG
rnacentral:rRNA from 1 species